CUACGGGUCGCACCAGUGGGGAAUAUUGGACAAUGGGGGAAACCCUGAUCCAGCAAUGCCGCGUGUGUGAAGAAGGCCUGCGGGUUGUAAAGCACUUUCGGUUGGGAGGACUGCUUCUAGCACUAAUAUUGUUGGAAGUUGACGUUACCUUCAGAAGAAGCACCGGCUAACUCCGUGCCAGCAGCCGCGGUAAUACGGAGGGUGCAAGCGUGAAUCGGAAUUACUGGGCGUAAAGCGCGCGUAGGCGGCUAGAUCAGUCGGGUGUGAAAGCCCCGGGCUUAACCUGGGAACUGCAUCCGAUACUGUCUAGCUUGAGUACAGGAGAGGGGGGUGGAAUUCCACAUGUAGCGGUGAAAUGCGUAGAUAUGUGGAGGAACACCAAUGGCGAAGGCAGCUCUCUGGCCUGAUACUGACGCUGAGGUGCGAAAGCGUGGGGAGCAAACAGGAUUAGAUACCCCGGUAGUC
rnacentral:rRNA from 1 species